rnacentral:rRNA from 1 species
GUGGGGAAUAUUGGACAAUGGGCGCAAGCCUGAUCCAGCCAUGCCGCGUGAGUGAUGAAGGCCUUCGGGUUGUAAAGCUCUUUAGCCGAUGAUUAUAAUGACUGUAGUCGGAAAAUAAGCCCCGGCUAACUUCGUGCCAGCAGCCGCGGUAAUACGAAGGGGGCUAGCGUUGUUCGGAUUUACUGGGCGUAAAGCGCACGUAGGCGGAUCGUUAAGUCGGGGGUGAAAUCCUGGAGCUCAACUCCAGAACUGCCUUCGAUACUGGCGAUCUUGAGUCCGGAAGAGGUGAGUGGAACUCCUAGUGUAGAGGUGGAAUUCGUAGAUAUUAGGAAGAACACCAGUGGCGAAGGCGGCUCACUGGUCCGGUACUGACGCUGAGGUGCGAAAGCGUGGGGAGCAAACAGGAUUAGAUACCCCGGUAGUCC